AGCAGAAAGACAAAAAAAAAACCCCAAAGCUAGAGAGGGAAGAACAGAAAACAACAAAAAGAGAGUGAGGAUUGGGGGUCAAUUACUAGGAUCCAAAAAAAAAAAACACAAGAAAAAAAACAUAUCAUUCGCAAAGAAAAAGGAGAAGCCAUUUUUGCUAAUCUCUGCUUUCUCCAGGACCAGAGCUUUUCAUGAAGAAAUCAUAACAAAAACAAAAACAGAGGGACGAAGACAUAGAGGAAAACCAGAAGAGCAAAAACAAAAGAGAAAAUUUUGCAUUCCUUCAUAACGCCCUCGGCUUCGCCUUCAACAACAGCUAACCAGGACCGAUUUUAUGAUUGUAAGAAAACACAUGCACUGAUCCCCCAUGCUCCAGCUGUCAGGCGUCUAUUGGCUGCGGAAAUGCACAGUCAUGCCACAUGGUCUUCACUCCAAUACACUAACUUCGUCUUCACUCUUCAGUCUUCACUUCUACUUUUCACCGAACAAAAACCCUAAUCCCCUUCUGUAAUUAACCAACCGGACACCGACAACCACAAAAGCGGCAACGAUCACGGUCACGAUCACGGUCCAGUCUUCACUCCUCUUUCCUUACUCCAGUCUUCACUCCAGAGUCCAGUCAUCAGUGCUCACGGUCGCGGCUUCCUUUUCAUCAACAGCGGCGACGAUCUCCUCAACAGCUUCUGACUUCGGGCUUCCUCUUCAAUCUUCAUCAACAGUAGCACGCCGGCAACAAUCUCUUUUCUUUCCCAUCAUCAACAAUUGACGGCUUCCUCUUCAUCAACAGCAGCGGGCGACAUCGCUCCUCUUCAUCGGCAGCCGUUCAGCCUUCAUCAUCAACGACUCUUUUUCACCGUAAGUUGAUUUUGCCUUUAAAAUGUAAAAUUGUAGUAGUUGAUUAUGCCCCGUAAUUGUAUAUUCCCUUGUAACAGAUUUUGAUUUUGCCCUGUUACCCUGUAAUUAUUAAUUACAAAUUUUGAUUUUGCUCGGUCCUGUAAUUUGUAUAGUUAUAAUGUUGAAUUGAAUUGAAUUGAAUGGAAUUGAUGGAAUGAUUUUGAA